ensembl:snoRNA
UAGCCAGCCAAUUAAUCUACUCAUUUGAAUGUGUUUCUGCAGAAGUUCAGGAACAGCUGGCAAUGGUGAUGCCAUUUUAUGAGCCUUAAGGACAACUGAGGUCAUUACUGUCCCUCAAAAUUGCUACAAUA